GAUGAACGCUAGCGGCAGGCUUAACACAUGCAAGUCGAGGGGUAGAAGCAGCUUGCUGCUUUGAGACCGGCGCACGGGUGCGUAACGCGUAUACAAUCUACCUUUUACAGAGGGAUAGCCCAGAGAAAUUUGGAUUAAUACCUCAUAGUAUUUUCGAAUCGCAUGGUUUGAUUAUUAAAGUUCCAACGGUAAAGAUGAGUAUGCGUCCCAUUAGCUAGAUGGUAAGGUAACGGCUUACCAUGGCAACGAUGGGUAGGGGUCCUGAGAGGGAGAUCCCCCCCACACUGGUACUGAGACACGGACCAGACUCCUACGGGAGGCAGCAGUGAGGAAUAUUGGACAAUGGGCGCAAGCCUGAUCCAGCCAUGCCGCGUGCAGGAAGACGGUCCUAUGGAUUGUAAACUGCUUUUAUACAGGAAGAAACNCACCCUCGUGAGGGUACUUGACGGUACUGUAUGAAUAAGCAUCGGCUAACUCCGUGCCAGCAG
rnacentral:rRNA from 1 species